GUGAGCCAAGAUUGCACCACUGUACUCCAGCCUGGACGACAAAGCAAGACUCGUCUCAGAAACAACAACAACAACAACAGGAUAUUAGCUUGUCAUAGUGGCUCACGUCAGUAAUUCCAGCUACACAGGAGAAUCCCUGAGGGCAGGAAUUUGCCCUGGGCCACAUAGCAAGACUGCAUCUAAAAAAAUUAAUUAAUUUAAUUUAAAUAAAUAAAUAAAUAAAAGGUGAUGUUUAUUGGGGAGAACAUAGAGCCACAAGCCAAAUUGUCCUAUACUGCAUUCCACCGCAGUCUGCAUAACUUUGGCCGUCAUUGUAUGGUGUUAUCUAACAUACACCUUAUCUGAAAGAAAGUUUAGAAUCAAUUUUGCAGUUUUAGUAAAAUUCUGUGGUUUUCUGUGUAUCGAAUGAUGGUGAAUACUGUAGGUUUCAAGGGAGGGAGUGAAUGCUUCUAAGUAUGACAUAAAUCCCAAGAGCUGUAAAAAUAAAAUUGUUAUAUUUAAUUAUAUAAUUAAAACACUUGUGUGCUGCCAAAGCAAACACAGUUACAUAAUUUAAACACUUCGUUUAGUACAAGAUAACAUUUUUAAAGCUACAGUAACAGAGGGGAAAAUAUCUAUAACACAUAUAAUAAAUAAUUAAAAUUUCUCAUUUUUAAAGUGUUCUUCCAUCUCAUUCACUAAAAGACAACCAAGUAUAAAAAUGGGUUACCUUGUAGAGCAAUGGACAUAUAAAUGUGCAAGGAAUAUAUGGAUAGAAGCAGUGAUGUCUUUCAUUUUGUACUAAUUACAUUGGUUUUAAAAAAACCUGAUAACCACCAUUGGCAAGACUUCUGAAGAAUGCAUUCUCAUGCUUGUGUCAUUGUAAAUUCGUACAUUUUCAGAAGACAGUUAAGGAGUACUCUGCCCCUUUGACUCCUGCAUUGUGUAUAAUAGAAAAAAUUAGCAAAAAUUAAUAAAUGGAGUAUGCAUGCAUGAUGUAAUACUAUGCAGCUGUUUAAAAAAAUAGCUGUAUUGAUGUAUUAAAAACCUACAUGUAAGUGUGUUCAUGUGUGUGUGUGUAUCUCUAAACUUGUGUAUUUAUAAGCAUUAAAAAAGUCUGAUAAGUCACCAAUUUCAGUUAAUGAAUACUUGUAAGAAGAAUGGAAGUAUAUUUGAACAAAAACAUUUAACUCCCAGAAUUAGGCAUUUUGGGUGGUGAGUCCUUAGGGUUUUCUUAAAUGCUACUUCUACUGAUAGUGUCUAUUGCCAUUUUUCUGUAUUACAUUACUCUCUUUAUAAAAGUAUUCUUUCAGAGUCCUCCUAUUGUUUAUCUCCUUUACAGCUGCCCUUCUACCCAUGCCCAGCUACCUAGGAAGUCUUCUUUUAGCCAAAAAUGCAAUAAUGGAUUUAUUUUGCUUUCAGGAAAUAGAAAUUUCAACAGAAUGUAAACAGAAAUCACACUAAUGUGUCAUUUGAAAGGCUAUAUUAGUAACAAUUUGGGUGUGAAUAAGGUGGUGGUGCUGGUGGUCAUGUUCAUGUUCAUGGGAUAAUAAACUAAUUAUCAGGCCUUUUCAGUUACGCUAAAUUUGGUCUUCCUGGUGUGACUUGGUUAUUUUGCUUGAAAUAGAUAUUCAAAAUAUCAACAAGUGAUGAAGUUCAGCUUGAAUUCCAGUUGUGUGCAGUGAGUUGUAUACAUACAGUGUUCAGCCUCACAAGUAUCUCUGCAAAUUAGAAGAAUUAAACAGCUUUUCAGAAAGA